AACGAACGCUGGCGGCAUGCCUAACACAUGCAAGUCGAACGAGACCUUCGGGUCUAGUGGCGCACGGGUGCGUAACGCGUGGGAAUCUGCCCUUGGGUUCGGAAUAACUUCGGGAAACUGAAGCUAAUACCGGAUGAUGACGUAAGUCCAAAGAUUUAUCGCCCAGGGAUGAGCCCGCGUAGGAUUAGCUAGUUGGUGAGGUAAAGGCUCACAAAGGCUACGAUCCUUAGCUGGUCUGAGAGGAUGAUCAGCCACACUGGGACUGAGACACGGCCCAGACGCCUACGGGAGGGAGCAGUAGGGAAUAUUGGACAAUGGGAGAAAGCCUGAUCCAGCAAUGCCGCGUGAGCGAUGAAGGCCUUAGGGUUGUAAAGCUCUUUUACCCGGGAUGAUAAUGACAGUACCGGGAGAAUAAGCCCCGGCUAACUCCGUGCCAGCAGCCGCCGUAA
rnacentral:rRNA from 1 species